AUCCAGAGAACAAGUAACUGGUUCUAUCAGUUCUGAAAUUCUCCCCAAUCUUGUCAAUGCCAAUGACAUCCAUAAAACCAGCAGGGUAGGUUAUAUCAGUUUGGACCUUGCCAUCAAUCGUAAUAAAACGCUGCAUACAGAUCU